UACGUAUGGAGCAAGCGUUAUCCGGAUUUACUGGGUGUAAAGGGAGCGUAGACGGUGAGGCAAGUCUGAUGUGAAAGCCCGGGGCUCAACCCCGGAACUGCAUUGGAAACUGUCUUACUAGAGUGCAGGAGAGGUAAGCGGAAUUCCUAGUGUAGCGGUGAAAUGCGUAGAUAUUAGGAGAAACACCAGUGGCGUAGGCGGCUUACUGGACUGUAACUGACGUUGAGGCUCGAAAGCGUGGGGAGCAAACAGG
rnacentral:misc_RNA from 1 species